AGAGUUUGAUCCUGGCUCAGGACGAACGCUGGCGGCGUGCUUAACACAUGCAAGUCGAACGAAAAGACGGAAAGAGCUUGCUCUUUUCAGAAUUGAGUGGCAAACGGGUGAGUAACACGUAAACAACCUGCCUUCAGGAUGGGGACAACAGACGGAAACGACUGCUAAUACCGAAUAAGUUCCAAGAGCCGCAUGGCCCAUGGAAGAAAAGGUGGCCUCUACCUGUAAGCUAUCGCCUGAAGAGGGGUUUGCGUCUGAUUAGCUGGUUGGAGGGGUAACGGCCCACCAAGGCGACGAUCAGUAGCCGGUCUGAGAGGAUGAACGGCCACACUGGAACUGAGACACGGUCCAGACUCCUACGGGAGGCAGCAGUGGGGAAUAUUGGGCAAUGGGAGGAAUCCUGACCCAGCGACGCCGCGUGAACGAUGAAGGCCUUAGGGUUGUAAAGUUCUUUUAUGUGGGAAGAAGGAAGUGACGGUACCACAUGAAUAAGCCCCGGCUAACUACGUGCCAGCAGCCGCGGUAAUACGUAGGGGGCGAGCGUUGUCCGGAAUUACUGGGCGUAAAGGGCACGCAGGCUGUGAUUCAAGUCAGCUGUAAAAGGAUGCGGCUUAACCGUGUUUAGCAGUUGAAACUGGAUGACUGGAGUGCUGGAGAGGCAAGUGGAAUUCCCAGUGUAGCGGUGAAAUGCGUAGAUAUUGGGAAGAACAUCGGUGGCGAAGGCGACUUGCUGGCCAGUAACUGACGCUGAGGUGCGAAAGCCAGGGUAGCAAACGGGAUUAGAUACCCCGGUAGUCCUGGCUGUAAACGAUGAAUGCUAGGUGUGCGAGCAGAGAUGUUGGUGUGCCGCAGUUAACGCGAUAAGCAUUCCGCCUGGGGAGUACGGUCGCAAGAUUGAAACUCAAAGGAAUUGACGGGGGCCCGCACAAGCGGUGGAGCACGUGGUUUAAUUCGAUGCAAACCGAAGAACCUUACCUGGGUUUGACAUGUAUGAGGUAGGAGCCGGAAACGGUGACGACGUACUUUCGGGUACGAACAUACACAGGUGCUGCAUGGCUGUCGUCAGCUCGUGUCGU
rnacentral:rRNA from 1 species